UCUCGAGCGUUGUUCGGAUUCAUUGGGCGUAAAGGGUGCGUAGGUGGCGCUGUAAGUCGGGUGUGAAAUCCUGGGGCUUAACCCCGGAACUGCAUUCGAUACUGCAGUGCUUGAGGACUGGAGAGGAGACUGGAAUUCAUGGUGUAGCAGUGAAAUGCGUAGAGAUCAUGAGGAAGACCAGUGGCGAAGGCGGGUCUCUGGACAGUUCCUGACACUGAGGCACGAAGGCCAGGGGAGCAAACGGG
rnacentral:rRNA from 1 species